ACUCUGUGAUGACUAUGAUGACGAGACUGAGUUAUUAUCCAGUGAUGACAAUCGAGGCAUUUGUCUGAGAGUA